UACAGGUUGGACAUAAAUACAGCGUACCAUGAGACCUGGACAGUACAAAAGUUUUAUUCACAGAAACAUUUUUCUGACGAUAAAAAAACAAGAUGUCUCAACACAGCGCUAAUAGCAUGUUUAACAACUUUGGGGACAUUACAGAUUCUCAGUUAGCGGCUGUUAUGGAUGUUGUAUUACCACCAUUGCCCUAUUCACAAACAGAAGAUAUUUUAGGAGUAACAGCUAGAG